rnacentral:tRNA from 30 species
UGUGGUGUAGCUCAGCGGAAGCAGCCCCGGCUUUGGCACAGGGUACGGGAGGUCGCCGGUUCGAAUCCGGUCAUCACGA